rnacentral:rRNA from 1 species
GUGGGGAAUAUUGGACAAUGGGCGAAAGCCUGAUCCAGCCAUGCCGCGUGUGUGAAGAAGGUCUUCGGAUUGUAAAGCACUUUAAGUUGGGAGGAAGGGCAGUAAGUUAAUACCUUGCUGUUUUGACGUUACCGACAGAAUAAGCACCGGCUAACUUCGUGCCAGCAGCCGCGGUAAUACGAAGGGUGCAAGCGUUAAUCGGAAUUACUGGGCGUAAAGCGCGCGUAGGUGGUUUUGUAAGUUGGAGGUGAAAUCCCCGGGCUCAACCUGGGAACUGCCUCCAAAACUGCAUGACUAGAGUACGGUAGAGGGUAGUGGAAUUUCCUGUGUAGGGGUGAAAUGCGUAGAUAUAGGAAGGAACACCAGUGGCGAGGGCGACUACCUGGACUGAUACUGACACUGAGGUGCGAAAGCGUGGGGAGCAAACAGGAUUAGAAACCCGAGUAGUCC